rnacentral:rRNA from 1 species
AGCAGCCGCGGUAAAUUCCAGCUCCAAUAGCGUAUAUUAAAGUUGUUGCAGUUAAAAAGCUCGUAGUUGAAUUUUGGGUCUGGCCGGGCGGUCCGCCCUCCGGGUGAGCACUGUUCCGACGCCGGGCCUAUCCUUCUGGUGAGUCGGCAUGUCCUUUACUGGGUGUGUCGGGGAACCAGGACCAUUACCUUGAAGAAAUUAGAGUGUUCAAAGCAGGCGUAUGCUCGGAUACAUUAGCAUGGAAUAAUGAAAUAGGACGCGUGGUGCUAUUUUGUUGGUUUCUAGAACCGCCGUAAUGAUUAAUAGGGAUAGUUGGGGGCAUUAGUAUUCAAUUGUCAGAGGUGAUAUUCUUGGAUUUAUUGAAGACUAACUUCUGCGAAAGCAUUUGCCAAGGAUGUUU